rnacentral:rRNA from 1 species
UUCCGGUUGAUCCCGCCGGACCUGACUGCUAUCGGAUUGAUACUAAGCCAUGCGAGUCUUUGUAGUAAUACAAGGCAGACGGCUCAGUAACACGUAGUCAACCUACCCUAUGGACGAGAAUAAUCUCGGGAAACUGAGCAUAAUUCUUGAUAGAUCAUAAUGCCUGGAAUGGUUUAUGGUUAAAAUGAUUCGUCGCCAUAGGAUGGGACUGCGGCCUAUCAGCUUGUUGGUGAGGUAAUGGCCCACCAAGGCGAUUACAGGUACGGGCUCUGAGAGGAGAAGCCCGGAGAUGGGUACUGAGACACGGACCCAGGCCCUAUGGGGCGCAGCAGGCGAGAAAACUUUGCAAUGUGCGAAAGCACGACAAGGUUAAUCCGAGUGAUUUCUGCUAAAGAAAUCUUUUGCCAGUCGUAAAAACGCUGGUGAAUAAGGGGUGGGCAAGUUCUGGUGUCAGCCGCCGCGGUAAAACCAGCACCUCAAGUGGUCAGGAUGAUUAUUGGGCCUAAAGCAUCCGUAGCCGGCUUUGUAAGUUUUCGGUUAAAUCCAUGUGCUCAACGCAUGGGCUGCCGAAAAUACUGCAUAGCUAGGGAGUGGAAGAGGUAGACGGUACUCAGUAGGUAGGGGUAAAAUCCUUUGAUCUAUUGAUGACCACCUGUGGCGAAGGCGGUCUACCAGAACACGUUCGACGGUGAGGGAUGAAAGCUGGGGGAGCAAACCGGAUUAGAUACCCGGGUAGUCCCAGCUGUAAACGAUGCAGACUCGAUGAUGCAUUGGCAUAAUAGCCAUUGCAGUGUCGCAGGGAAGCCGUUAAGUCUGCCGCCUGGGAAGUACGUACGCAAGUAUGAAACUUAAAGGAAUUGGCGGGGGAGCACCACAAGGGGUGAAGCCUGCGGUUCAAUUGGAUUCAACGCCGG